UACAGAGGGGGCAAGCGUUAUUCGGAAUUAUUGGGCGUAAAGGGCGCGUAGGCGGCCUGGCAAGUGGAUGGUGAAAUCCCUCGGCUUAACCGAGGAACUGCCAUCCAGACUGCUUGGCUUGAGACCGGGAGGAGGUGAGUGGAAUUCCCAGUGUAGCGGUGAAAUGCGUAGAUAUUGGGAGGAACACCAGUGGCGAAGGCGGCUCACUGGACCGGUACUGACGCUGAGGCGCGAAAGCGUGGGGAGCAAACGGG
rnacentral:rRNA from 1 species